AUUGAACGCUGGCGGCAGGCCUAACACAUGCAAGUCGAGCGGUAACAGUCCUUCGGGAGCUGACGAGCGGCGGACGGGUGAGUAACGCGUAGGAAUCUACCCAGUAGAGGGGGAUAGCCCGGGGAAACUCGGAUUAAUACCGCAUAAACUCUAUGGAGCAAAGGGGGCUUCGGCUCUCGCUACUGGAUGAGCCUGCGUGGGAUUAGCUAGUUGGUGAGGUAAUGGCUCACCAAGGCGACGAUCUCUAACUGGUCUGAGAGGAUGAUCAGUCACACUGGAACUGAGACACGGUCCAGACUCCUACGGGAGGCAGCAGUGGGGAAUAUUGCACAAUGGGCGAAAGCCUGAUGCAGCCAUGCCGCGUGUGUGAAGAAGGCCUUAGGGUUGUAAAGCACUUUCAGUAGGGAGGAAGGUCAAGUAGUUAAUACCUGCUUGGAUUGACGUUACCUACAGAAGAAGCACCGGCUAACUCCGUGCCAGCAGCCG
rnacentral:rRNA from 1 species